rnacentral:tRNA from 1 species
GGGGCUAUAGCUCAGCCUUGGUUAGAGCGCACGCCUGAUAAGCGUGAGGUCAGUGGUUCAAGUCCACUUAGCCCCACCA